rnacentral:sRNA from 1 species
UUAUAUUAGCAUGUUUAAAAUAAAUGAAACUGAAAAAAAUCUUCUAAGUAAACAAUCACACAACAAGCAGACAACAUUCACAAAUCAAACUUAUAUACUAACUAUGAAAAGAGAAAACAAUUCACAAAAGAGAAGAUGGUUCUAACCUGUCCUGUGAAAAGAGAAAAUUGAUAAGCUUCGAAAUGUCCCAUUAAUUCGCUCAGUAACGCUUGCAAAACAAAAUUAUAGAAUGAGCAAAAUGUUUUAUAUUCAAGAAAGUGAAUCAAUAAUAGUUUGACAUAACAAAAGAACUAAAUCGAUUUGACAAUAACAACAUGAUUCAGACAACAGACGAAGCUUAAUCAAUCUGCAAUGAAAUUCUCAAGUUUUAUCACCCAAUAACAAAUCAAACAUUACAGAGCCAAAAUCCAAAAUUUGCAACUCAAAUGCCCAAAUAAAAACACAAUUUCGAAUGCAAAAUUGUUCACAAGCACAUAAAUUAGCAACCCACAAAAACAUUACUAAGACGAAAUUCAUAUGAAUUCGGGAUUAACAAAGGCAUGCGAAGUAGACAAAAUUUUAAGAAUCGAUAAAGAAAACCAUACUACAAUCACAUAAACAUCGGUUAUUGAGUCUAAGAGAUUGAUAGAAACAGAUCUAGGGUAACGAAUUGAGUGUCAAAGGAGAAAAACAACAACAUAGAUAAGGACUUGCCUUCGAUUCGAUCUUGAAUUGAGCGGAUUAAGUGCUGGCGGGAGGUUCCAGUUGCAUGGAGAGCUUUCACGACGGCGACGGAGAGUUUAAUUGGUGGUCGGAAGAGUGAGUUCGUCGGACUAACUGCUGCAGGACCGAGAGAGUUCUUUCUUAGGGUUUUCGACAGAAAGUUUAAUUGUGUUUUGAGUUUUGGUUUUUUGCUCGAAAACUAAAAAAAUUGACUAAGUGUUUGGCGGAAUAAGGUUUUUGGGUUCCCGCUCAUUAAAACUCUAUCUUAGCGUUUAUCAAGUGCUGUAAUAUAAUAACCAAAAUUACAUGACAUCUACAAUUGCAAUUGAGUAAACCGUGCUAUAACGGUAUGCUAUCAAUGAAGACUUUUUUUGUAGUGCAUAUAUAUAGGUUGUGAGUGUGCAUCACGAUUUUACAGCGGAACAUGAAAAAGUAAAUAAAUGUCUCCAUUCAAGCAUACGAUAAAUGCAAAGUGCGUAUUAAUUAGUGGAACCACACUUGACAUCUUCUUAUUUUCAAUUGAAUAUCUAAACCGCACAUGCUUUGAUUUACCCCAAUUAUGAUGUGGUUUAGGUGUGGUUUCAGUUUUGUAUGUAUAUAUGUGUAUAUACAUAUAUAAUAUAUAAUAUAUGUAUAUUUUUAAGUUUAGAAAAUUAUGAAAUUUAUUUUAUGUAUUAAUCUUAUCAAAUAACAUAAUCUUGUUCAAAAAGUAAUUUGUUUCUUUUACCUAAAAAUUAUUUUUU